rnacentral:rRNA from 1 species
UGAGGAAUAUUGGUCAAUGGGCGGAAGCCUGAACCAGCCAAGUAGCGUGCAGGAUGACGGCCCUACGGGUUGUAAACUGCUUUUAUGCGGGGAUAAAGUGAGGGACGCGUCCCUUUUUGCAGGUACCGCAUGAAUAAGGACCGGCUAAUUCCGUGCCAGCAGCCGCGGUAAUACGGAAGGUCCGGGCGUUAUCCGGAUUUAUUGGGUUUAAAGGGAGCGUAGGCCGGGGAUUAAGUGUGUUGUGAAAUGUAGGCGCCCAACGUCUGACUUGCAGCGCAUACUGGUUCCCUUGAGUACGCGCAACGCCGGCGGAAUUCGUCGUGUAGCGGUGAAAUGCUUAGAUAUGACGAAGAACCCCGAUUGCGAAGGCAGCCGGCGGGAGCGCAACUGACGCUGAAGCUCGAAGGUGCGGGUAUCGAACAGG